rnacentral:rRNA from 1 species
UACUGCAUAUUGCUUUAUGUCAUAAGACGUAAAGUGAAAUGAAUUUCGCUCCGGGAUCGGCCUGGUAGUUGUAUCAGCUAGUUGGUAAGGUAACGGCUUACCAAGGCUAUGACACAUAGCUGGUCUGAGAGGAUGAUCAGCCACACUGGAACUGAGACACGGUCCAG